GAUGAACGCUGGCGGCGUGCUUAACACAUGCAAGUCGAACGAAGCAUUUAAGACAGAUUCUUUCGGGAUGAAGACUUAUCUGACUGAGUGGCGGACGGGUGAGUAACGCGUGGGUAACCUACCCUGUACAGGGGGAUAACAGUUAGAAAUGACUGCUAAUACCGCAUAAGCGCACAGUACCGCAUGGUACAGUGUGAAAAACUCCGGUGGUACAGGAUGGACCCGCGUCUGAUUAGUUAGUUGGCAGGGUAACGGCCUACCAAGACGACGAUCAGUAGCCGGCUUGAGAGAGUGAACGGCCACAUUGGAACUGAGACACGGCCCAGACUCCUACGGGAGGCAGCAGUGGGGGAUAUUGCGCAAUGGGGGCAACCCUGACCCAGCAACGCCGCGUGAAGGAAGAAGGCCUUCGGGUUGGUAAACUUCUUUUACCUAGGACGAAGAACGUGACGGUACCUGGAGAAAAAGACAACGGCUAACUAACGUG
rnacentral:rRNA from 1 species